rnacentral:rRNA from 1 species
ACAUGCCUACAACAUAGAAUUAAUGCACCGGAUCCCAUUAGAACUAUGUAGUUAACCGUGCUCAGGCUAGAGUAGUACUAGGAUGGGUGAUCUCCAAAGAAUUCCUAGUGUUUUACAUGCC